rnacentral:rRNA from 1 species
UUAAUUGAAUGCUAAGAGAAUGGAAUAUCAAAAAACAACUUUCUUAAAAUUAAAAAUUGAAAUUUUUUUAAUUUGUGUAAAAACAAUUAUAAAAAUUAAAGACAAGAAGACCCUAAGAAUUUUUAAAAUUUAAAUAAUACAUUUUUUGUUUUAAUUAAAUUUUAACUGGGGCGGUUAAAAAAUAUUAAAAACUUUUUAAUUUAAAAAUGACCCAUUAUUAAUGAAAAUAUGAUUAAAUACUCUAGGGAUAACAGCGUUAUAUUUUUUGAUAGAUCAUAUUGACAAAAAAGUUUGCGACCUCGAUGUUGGAUUAGGAUACUUUUUUAAUGAAGAUAUUAAAAUAAGAAGUUUGUUCAACUUUUAAAUU